UAUGUGGUCCUAAGCGGGCAUCUAAUUAGGACUAAAGGAUUGGCGGUAACGGAUGGGGAUGCGUCCGAUUAGCUUGACGGCGGGGUAACGGCCCACCGUGGCGACGAUCGGUAGGGGUUCUGAGAGGAAGGUCCCCCACAUUGGAACUGAGACACGGUCCAAACUCCUACGGGAGGCAGCAGUGAGGAAUAUUGGUCAAUGGGCGAGAGCCUGAACCAGCCAAGUAGCGUGAGGGAAGACUGCCCUAUGGGUUGUAAACCUCUUUUGUGUGGGGAUAAAGUGAGGGACGUGUCCCUCAUUGCAGGUACCGCACGAAUAAGGACCGGCUAAUUCCGUGCCAGCAGCCGCGGUAAUACGGAAGGUCCGGGCGUUAUCCGGAUUUAUUGGGUUUAAAGGGAGCGCAGGCCGUCCUUUAAGCGUGCUGUGAAAUGCCGCGGCUCAACCGUGGCACUGCAGCGCGAACUGGGGGACUUGAGUACGCACGAGGUAGGCGGAAUUCGUGGUGUAGCGGUGAAAUGCUUAGAUAUCACGAAGAACUCCGAUUG
rnacentral:rRNA from 1 species